AUUUCUAAAAAACUCCCCAUGUGAGGCUGGUGCCACUGGGCCAAGGCCACACUUGGAGAACCGCUGACCUAGAUGUUACUUUUCAAGCUGCACGUGUGGGUUCCCCAGCUACAAAGUCUGUUGUAGCACACAGGGUGAACUUGGUGUGCGCAGGUCAGGAGGAAGGAAGUUCUGAUUGAGAAUGCAAGCACAAAAGAUUUCAGGUACUUAAUUCUGACUGUGGGGUGUGUGCUCUCUCCCAGGUGUCUCAGAGCCAGAAAAGGUUGCCAGCCAGUGACUCAGAACACAAAAACCAGAACUGAGAACUGAUUAUAUUUGUUUCCUUUGCUGAAAGUAAAGUCUCUUGAAACUCACACUAAGACUAGUUACUUUUUUGAGAACAGCUCCGAAAGGCCUUUAAAUGGUCCAUUAUCAACCAAGGAAAGCCAGCAACUAGGAGCAGACCUUUAUCUCAAGAAAACCAGCUUGCCAGGGGAUCCAGGCCUGUCUGGGCCUCCACGGGGCUUGUCCCGACUCCUUUACCUCACCUCAUAGGGUGAAUGCCAGGACUCCAAUCACAGGAUGAGGUUGGAGAAUGGUCUGAUCUCAGAGGAAAGAGAGCAGGGAAAUGAAAACAUGUUUGCCUGCGGCGGCCUCACAGUUCUCCCAUUAUAACAGCAGGUCUCACCAGGCCCUGGAUUCUAUUUCUUGAAGAUGAGCUGUGCCCAGGCCAGGCAAGGCCACAGUGGUUCAAAGGAAUGAUAUGUGAACACUGCAGACUGUGGAGGACAGCUGGAAGCCGCGUUUGGAGCGGCCCACGUGAGCUGGCUGAGUGAUGCUGACCGCGCAGAGAUGAUAUGGGCGUGGGCUCUGGAGCCUGGAACAGCAGACACAGAAGUGCUGCAGAGCCCGGCAGGGAAGGCCACCUCCCAACUCCCGCAGUAGUUUGGCCUUUGAAACACGAAGAACAGUUCCAUUUAUUGUCCUGUUGUUUUUGCUUUUGCUUUAAUAAUAAAAAGAAAACCAAAACCUUC